UGCAGUGGGCUGCAGUCAAGACCCAGUUGGUAGCAAUGAGAGUCCCACCACAUGUGUGAGCCCAGACUCCCAUUGUGAAAAUCUGGAGGG